UAAUACGUAGGUGGCAAGCGUUGUCCGGAUUUAUUGGGUUUAAAGGGUGCGUAGGCGGCCCUGUAAGUCAGUGCUGAAAUAUCCCAGCUUAACUGGGAGGGUGGCAUUGAUACUGCGGGGCUAGAGUACAGAUGAGGUAGGCGGAAUUGACGGUGUAGCGGUGAAAUGCUUAGAUAUCGUCAAGAACACCUAUAGCGAAGGCAGCUUACUAGGCUGUAACUGACGCUGAGGCACGAAAGUGUGGGGAUCAAACAGGAUUAGAUACCCUGGUAGUCCACACUGUAAACGUUGAUUACUCGCUGUGUGCGAUAUACAGUACGCGGCCAAGCGAAAGCGCUAAGUAAUCCACCUGGGGAGUACGCCGGCAACGGUG
rnacentral:rRNA from 1 species